rnacentral:rRNA from 1 species
UACGUAGGGGGCGAGCGUUGUCCGGAAUUACUGGGCGUAAAGGGCGUGUAGGCGGUUUAUCAAGUCAGGUGUGAAAUUCCAGGGCUCAACCCUGGGCGUGCACUUGAAACUGGUAGGCUUGAGUGCAGGAGAGGAAAGUGGAAUUCCCAGUGUAGCGGUGAAAUGCGUAGAUAUUGGGAGGAACACCAGUGGCGAAGGCGACUUUCUGGCCUGUAACUGACGCUGAGGCGCGAAAGCUAGGGGAGCAAACAGG